rnacentral:tRNA from 1 species
GAUCUUUUAGUUUAUUUAGAAUUUUUUAUUUACGAUGAAAAGGUUAAGAGAUUU